AGUGAACGCUGGCGGUAGGCCUAACACAUGCAAGUCGAACGGCAGCACAGUAAGAGCUUGCUCUUACGGGUGGCGAGUGGCGGACGGGUGAGGAAUACAUCGGAAUCUACUUUUUCGUGGGGGAUAACGUAGGGAAACUUACGCUAAUACCGCAUACGACCUACGGGUGAAAGCAGGGGAUCUUCGGACCUUGCGGGAUUGAAUGAGCCGAUGUCGGAUUAGCUAGUUGGCGGGGUAAAGGCCCACCAAGGCGACGAUCCGUAGCUGGUCUGAGAGGAUGACCAGCCACACUGGAACUGAGACACGGUCCAGACUCCUACGGGAGGCAGCAGUGGGGAAUAUUGGACAAUGGGCGCAAGCCUGAUCCAGCCAUACCGCGUGUGUGAAGAAGGCCUUCGGGUUGUAAAGCCCUUUUGUUGGGAAAGAAAAGCAGCAGGUUAAUACCCCGCUGUUCUGACGGUACCCAAAGAAUAAGCACCGGCUAACUUCGUG
rnacentral:rRNA from 1 species